rnacentral:rRNA from 1 species
AAUAGCGUAUAUUAAAGUUGUUGCGGUUAAAAAGCUCGUAGUUGGUUCUGCGUGCCGCGCUGUCGGUUCGCCGCCUGUCGGUGUAACUGGCAUGUCGCGGCAUGUCCUGUCGGUGGUGAACGGAGUCCACGACGCUACAUGGGCUUUAUAGUCGAUGUUAGCAUCGUGUGUACUUCCGUUGGCCGAUCUCUCCUACUUCGGUGCUCUUAAACGAGUGUCGAGGUAGGCCGACACGUUCACUUUGAACAAAUUAGAGUGCUUAAAGCAGGCUGAAAUAUCUGCCUGAAUAGUGGUGCAUGGAAUGAUAAAACAGGACCUCGGUUCUAUUUUGUUGGUUUUAGGAAUAUGAGGUAAUGAUCAAUGUGGACUGGCGGGGGCAUUCGUAUUGCGACGUUAGAGGUGAAAUUCUUGGAUCGUCGCAAGACGCACUAGAGCGAAAGCAUUUGCCAAGUAUGUCUUAAUUGAUCAAGAACGAAAGUUAGAGGUUCGAAGGCGAUCAGAUACCGCCCUAGUUCUAACCAUAAACGAUGCCAGCCAGCGAUCCGCCGAUGUUCCUUUAAUGACUCGGCGGGGAGCUUCCACCCGGGAAACCAAAGC